rnacentral:lncRNA from 1 species
ACCAGAUCUUGAUCUGGCGCUCGGACAGGCAGAGUGCGUGGGCGAUCUCGAUGCGCCGUCGCCGGGUCAGGUUGCUUGUCUGGAGAUGGAGCCACUACAGGCGGGCCUGGGCGCCUGGAGUCGGGCAUGAAAGAAAAUAGCGCCUCAUCGCUCUUAUCUAAGCCCAGAGGUAGACUUCGCUUGAAAAGAUCGAGAAUGGAGGAGGGGAUCGGCACUCACUUGCAGACAUCAACAGUUUCCAGAAAAUUCGGUUCAAUUCCUUCACCACGGACCCACCAACCAAGGAGCUGGCAAAACCCACUAACCAACCAGGAGAACACAGACCCGGUUUGUCUUUUGACAACCGAGUGGAACUGACGGGGCCGGCGCCUGCCCUGCGGGUCCCCUCCCUUGGCUGAGAAGAAAACCAAAUAAACCUUGAACAGCCUUGGCUUCGGAUGUCUCAAGCGGCCUCAUCCUCUCCCGCGCCUUGGUGGGGUGGGGGUGGGGAUGGCGGUGGGGGUGUCGGCUCUGAUCCCUCCACCCUUUGAUUCAGGGCCCCUGCCCGCUGGAAGCAGAAUUAGACCUUUUUAUAUAUGCCCUAGAGGAAGCCGCUUCCCUUGCCAGCCGCCAGGUUUGGGGCUAGGAUGGGCGGGGACGGGGGCAGUGGGAAAUUGGGGAUGAUGGGUGGAGGAGAGACUUCUGUUCUCUAACUCACACCGGGGAACCAAGAUCUAGCUGAGAGCGUCGGUGUGGGCCCGAAAUCCCCCGAAUCCCGUGGACCCUGCGAGGCCGGGGCUCCAGGCGUCGGGCACCUCUGGACAGUGUCGCGGGGCUUGCGGCGCCGAAGCCGCGUGUCUCCGAACGGACGGUAGAUGGCAGCAGACCGCAUAAUUUGGGUCACAGCGAACUGUCUAAGGGAGGAUUUAUAACCCUCCAAGACUACAGGAGAAAAAGACCUUUAGUAUGGGUGGGUUUGGGAAAUUUUUCCCUUGAGAAUAGUCCCCGAGUGCCGUGGGUGCUGGCGGAGAACUCUAGCUACGAAGCCCAGCGGUCCCUCCAGGCGCCCAGGCCGGGCCUGAACCUAGGGCAUCUACCUGGGGCCACAGAGCCGCCUCUUCCGCGCCACAAGUGGCAGCGUCGUCCCUCUCCUAGCUUAGGACUGAGAUAAUAAAUAUAUCCCCACUUCCAAAACGCCCCAGACCCUGUAACUCCGGGGCAACCAGAGGCCCGAGGCUGAAUGUCCUGCAUCUGGUCUUAAGAAAGAGAAAAGCAAUCACAUGUUCGUGCAAACCAGACUAAAAAUCACAAUUUCUCCUGCCCUCCACAGCCAACAUCACUUAUCUCUUGGCUGGAAGCUUCCCCAGAAGCUCCCUUACCCCAUUUUUAAGUCCUUGCCUCAAGGCUGGCACCUACUUCCACCCCACGAGCUACUUUAGGAAUCUCUGUCACCUGCCCAAUGUUCUCCGCCCUCCCCACCCCCUAGAAGGCCUGACUGAGGGAUAAAAUUGGACACCCGAGGGACGGGACUGUCUGAGCUCAGUGCCAGUUAGCUUUUCAGUUUAGACGCCGCUAGGUCCCAUAAUUGGAUUUUCUUUUUAUUUUCUUCUUUCAUUUCUUUCUCUUUUAUUUUUAUUUACAAGCCUAAAACAAAAAGGCACUUAACAGCUUCUUCACAAUCACCAUGUCUGGACCCAGGAAAGUUUGAAAUGUUAUCAUAUCAGACACACACAUGGCAAUUUUUUCCUCCACCGAAAUCCACACAUCCCAUACCAAUACAACGCAAGUAAUAGAAUCAGUAUCACGCAGAAACCAACAGCUGUAACCUACCGCAUUAAAACCACAAAACUGUCUCCCUGUAGAGCGAGGCUCCCUCCUGCGGGAGUGGCGAGAUACUUGGGCAUUCUCGGGCAGGCUUCCUGCCGUUUCCUCUCCCUCGCCGGCCUCGGCGGAGAUUCCAGGCCCUAUAGAAACCAGGACGUCCCUUAGCGCCACCGCCUCACAUGCCAGUGCUGCCGGGAACCCAGCGAUAUCCGCACCAGCGGAGAAGGUUCCAGGCUGCCGGCGGCGGCGCAGAGAGCGGGAAGAGAGGCUCGGAGGAAGCCCCGGGCGUGGCGUGGUCAGGCUCCGAGAGCGGCCGGGAUGCGGCCACACCGGCCUGGUAAACUCGCACCUCUUAGGAUCUUGCUCCCGGACUCAUUCCCUUCCCCACCCCCUAUUUUAAAGUUUUAUUUGGGUCGUCUGUAUCAAUUUAGAACGAGAUAAAUUAAGACAAAGAAAGUAAAAUAAAUCGAAAUAAAAUAUAGGAAUAGCUCUUGGCGAAAAUGUUUGCCGUGCGAGCAGGAAGCCGUGAGCGCCCUAGUUGGAGGCUGCUCUGCGCCGACUAAGAGGCCUCUACUCCCAGGCCUGGCCUCUACGCAACGCCACCCAAGAAGCCAGAGUGAAUUUGGGUGUUCAUUUUCCCUUUCCUUCCGCUCUUCCUUCAUGUGGGGCCUAGCAGCUUGGAUUUCAGCUCCGUCUUUGUGCCUGGGCUGCAGCCCAGAUCCAGAUCCCGCAGCUUGGUUUCCAGGCCUGAAUGAGGACGCGGGUUUGUGAAACUGUGAGGUUUUUGUUUUGUUGUUUUGUGAGCUUGUGUGACUAAGCAUGUGGGCUUCUGAGUGCGUUUACUUGGGGGCAAAUGUGAAUCUGUGUUUAUAAGCCAAUGUGUGAAUGUACGUUGGUAUCAAUGUGUCUGUGAGUGUGAAUGUGUGUUUACUUGUGAGCGUGUGUGAACAUGAAUGCCUA